CGGUAACAUUUCUAGCUUGCUAGAAGAUGACGAGUGGCGGACGGGUGAGUAAUGCUUGGGAACUUGCCUUUGCGAGGGGGAUAACAGUUGGAAACGACUGCUAAUACCGCAUAAUGUCUUCGGACCAAACGGGGCUUAGGCUUCGGCGCAAAGAGAGGCCCAAGUGAGAUUAGCUAGUUGGUAGGGUAACGGCUUACCAAGGCGACGAUCUCUAGCUGUUCUGAGAGGAAGAUCAGCCACACUGGGACUGAGAUACGGCCCAGACUCCUACGGGAGGCAGCAGUGGGGAAUAUUGCACAAUGGGGGAAACCCUGAUGCAGCCAUGCCGCGUGUGUGAAGAAGGCCUUCGGGUUGUAAAGCACUUUCAGUUGUGAGGAAAAGUUAGUAGUUAAUACCUGCUAGCCGUGACGUUAACAACAGAAGAAGCACCGGCUAACUCCGUGCCAGCAGCCGCGGUAAUACGGAGGGUGCGAGCGUUAAUCGGAAUUACUGGGCGUAAAGCGCACGCAGGCGGUUUGUUAAGCUAGAUGUGAAAGCCCCGGGCUCAACCUGGGAUGGUCAUUUAGAACUGGCAGACUAGAGUCUUGGAGAGGGGAGUGGAAUUCCAGGUGUAGCGGUGAAAUGCGUAGAUAUCUGGAGGAACAUCAGUGGCGAAGGCGACUCCCUGGCCAAAGACUGACGCUCAUGUGCGAAAGUGUGGGUAGCGAACAGGAUUAGAUACCCUGGUAGUCCACACCGUAAACGCUGUCUACUAGCUGUGUGUGCCUUUAAGGCGUGCGUAGCGAAGCUAACGCGAUAAGUAGACCGCCUGGGGGAGUACGGCCGCAAGGUUAAAACUCAAAUGAAUUGACGGGGGCCCGCACAAGCGGUGGAGCAUGUGGUUUAAUUCGAUGCAACGCGAAGAACCUUACCUACACUUGACAUGCUGAGAAGUUACUA
rnacentral:rRNA from 1 species